AGUGAAGUGCCUGAAAAAAGGAUUACUAUGAUAGAGUAAAUAAUGUAAUUUUAAUUACCUUCACUA
rnacentral:tRNA from 1 species